GACGAACGCUGGCGGCGUGCCUAAUACAUGCAAGUUGAGCGCUGAAGGUUGGUACUUGUACCAACUGGAUGAGCAGCGAACGGGUGAGUAACGCGUGGGGAAUCUGCCUUUGAGCGGGGGACAACAUUUGGAAACGAAUGCUAAUACCGCAUAAAAACUUUAAACACAAGUUUUAAGUUUGAAAGAUGCAAUUGCAUCACUCAAAGAUGAUCCCGCGUUGUAUUAGCUAGUUGGUGAGGUAAAGGCUCACCAAGGCGAUGAUACAUAGCCGACCUGAGAGGGUGAUCGGCCACAUUGGGACUGGGACACGGCCCAAACGCCUACGGGAGGCAGCAGUAGGGAAUCUUCGGCAAUGGACGAAAGUCUGACCGAGCAACGCCGCGGGAGUGAAGAAGGUUUUCGGAUCGUAAAACUCGGUUGGUAGAGAAGAACGUUGGUGAGAGUGGAAAGCUCAUCAAGUGACGGUAACUACACAAAAAGGGACGGCUAACUACGUG
rnacentral:rRNA from 1 species